rnacentral:rRNA from 1 species
GACGAACGCUGGCGGCGUGCUUAACACAUGCAAGUCGAACGGAAAGGCCCUGCUUUUGUGGGGUGCUCGAGUGGCGAACGGGUGAGUAACACGUGAGUAACCUGCCCUUGACUUUGGGAUAACUUCAGGAAACUGGGGCUAAUACCGGAUAGGAGCUCCUGCUGCAUGGUGGGGGUUGGAAAGUUUCGGCGGUUGGGGAUGGACUCGCGGCUUAUCAGCUUGUUGGUGGGGUAGUGGCUUACCAAGGCUUUGACGGGUAGCCGGCCUGAGAGGGUGACCGGCCACAUUGGGACUGAGAUACGGCGCAGACUCCUACGGGAGGCAGCAGCGGGGAAUAUUGCACAAUGGGCGGAAGCCUGAUGCAGCAACGCCGCGUGCGGGAUGACGGCCUUCGGGUUGUAAACCGCUUUCGCCUGUGACGAAGCGUGAGUGACGGUAAUGGGUAAAGAAGCACCGGCUAACUACGUG